UACGUAGGGGGCGAGCGUUGUCCGGAAUCAUUGGGCGGAAAGCGCGUGUAGGCGGCUCGAUAAGUCUGCUGUGAAAGUUCAGGGCUCAACCCUGAAAUGCCGGUGGAAACUGUCGAGCUAGAGUACGGAAGAGGUGAGUGGAAUUCCUGGUGUAGCGGUGAAAUGCGCAGAUAUCAGGAGGAACACCAAUGGCGAAGGCAGCUCACUGGGACGUUACUGACGCUGAGACGCGAAAGCGUGGGGAGCAAACAGG
rnacentral:rRNA from 1 species